rnacentral:rRNA from 1 species
AUGGCUUCGCGCCUAGCUGCUCCACCGUCGCUCAAGGCCACUCCUCGUGCGUUGCAGCAAAGCUUACGGGCACCGGCGCUGAUUCUCAUCCCAGCCAGCCCGGCGCUGCAAAACAGGGGCCACCGCUGCUUUUCAUCCCGCGACACCGGCGCUGCUUCUCACCCCGGCGACCGGCGCUGCAAAGCCAGGGGCUGCGUCCCCAUGGGUCUCCCCACGGCGACCGAGCUGCAGUGCAGCACAAGCGACACUGCAAACCGCAGAUAUCGCCGGCGGCAGAUGCUGCAACGCAACGUCGCCGUGGUGGUGACCACGGUGCUGCGCUCGCCGGUGGUGGCAGAAGCUGCAACACAACGUCGCCGUGGUGGUGACCACGGUGCUGCGCGCGCCGGUGACGUCAGAAGCUGCAACACAACGUCGCCGUGGUGA